rnacentral:rRNA from 1 species
GAUCCUGGCUCAGGAUGAACGCUAGCUACAGGCUUAACACAUGCAAGUCGAGGGGCAGCAUUAUCGAAGCUUGCUUUGAUAGAUGGCGACCGGCGCACGGGUGAGUAACGCGUAUCCAACCUUCCCAUCACUCAGGGAUAGCCCGCCGAAAGGCGAAUUAAUACCUGAUGGUCUCCUUUGCAGACAUCUAACGAGGAGUAAAGAUUCAUUGGUGAUGGAUGGGGAUGCGUCUGAUUAGGUAGUAGGCGGGGUAACGGCCCACCUAGCCGACGAUCAGUAGGGGUUCUGAGAGGAAGGUCCCCCACAUUGGAACUGAGACACGGUCCAAACUCCUACGGGAGGCAGCAGUGAGGAAUAUUGGUCAAUGGACGGAAGUCUGAACCAGCCAAGUAGCGUGCAGGAUGACGGCCCUAUGGGUUGUAAACUGCUUUUGUGCGGGAAUAAAGUUUGGGACGUGUCCCAUUUUGCAUGUACCGCACGAAUAAGGACCGGCUAAUUCCGUGCCAGCAGCCGC